CCCCUUCUCAGCCCCCCUCCCCUUCUGUCACCCAUUCCCCCUCUCCUUCCCAGUCCCCUUCUCAGCCCCCCUCCCCUUCUCACACCCAUUCCCCCUCUCCUUCCCAGUCCCCUUCUCAGCCCCCCUCCCCUUCUGUCACCCAUUCCCCCUCUCCUUCCCAGUCCCCUUCUCAGCCCCCCUCCCCUUCUGUCACCCAAUCCCCCUCUCCUUCCCAGUCCCCUUCUCAGCCCCCCUCCACCUCUCUUUACCAAUACCCCUCUCUGUCCCCCUCCACCUCUGUAGGACAAAGCACCACUCCGCCCACCUCACCCUCUCUUUCCCAUUCCCCCUCUCUGGCCCCCUCCCCCUAUGUGACCCAACCCACCUCUCCGCCACCCUCCCCCACUCAAUCUGACCCACCCUCUGUACCAAGCUCCCCCUUCCAGCCUCCUUCCACCAUCCAGCCUCCUUCCCACAUCCAGCCUCCUUCCCCCAUCCAGCCUCCUUCCCCCAUCCAGCCUCCUACCCCCAUCCAGCCUCCUUCCCCCAUCCAGCCGCCAUCCCCCAUCCAGCCGCCAUCCCCUCCUUCGGAAUGGGCAGCAGAGGCCCCGGAGGCACUUCUGGGAGGUGAUCAAGUGGCACAGGACAAUGUUGCAGUUGGAGAUCCCACAACUUUUGUGGGCAUUCUGGACACCAUGCGCCAACACCUGCAUGGCUUACUGAGGAGUAUUGACCAGCUCCAAAAAUUUGCCUGAUUUUUUUUAAAAAACAUUUUAUUUUUCUGUUUAAAAAAUAAAAUAAAAUAUUGACAAACAAUAAAACCAAGAUAUUUCAAGUUAA